AUGGCUUCUACUGUGGACCGGAGGGAUCAAUCCUCCCGGAGGUCGGGGCACAUGAGGUCUCGUUCUCCGGCGAGGGAGCGCGUAUCGCCUCCACGCAAGCAGAGCCCGCCAGCUCGGAGGGAGAGGUCACGUCCUGAGAGGUCUGGCUCGCCUAGGAGGUCGGGGCACACAAGGUCCCGUUCUCCGGCCAGGGAGCGCGUGUCGCCUCCACGCAAGCACAGCCCGUCAGCUCGGAGGGAGAGGUCACAUGCUGAGAGAAGUGGCUCGCCUAGGAGGCGGUCCCCUGUUAAGGCUAGCCUUUCACAUAGGGAGAUGUCGCCACAGAGAGAAAAGGUGAAGGAGCGGGUCAGGUCGCCGAAACAUGCACGGUCCCCAUCGCCUGCUGGGAAACGGCAGUCUCGGUCGCUCUCACCGCGCUCCAAGCGACUAAGGAGAGCUCAGGCUGAGCGGGAAGGGGCUGAUGUAACUGAGCGCGACCAUCGGAGGCCUCCCAGUAGUGAAGACCGGGGCACCCGGAAACACAGGGAGCAUGAUGAGGGUGCGUCAAGGGAUAGGAAGGUGGAGCCAAAAGAUGAUAGGAGUGCCUUCACAGGUAGAAGACUGGAUGAUGAUAAUGAUGGAAGGGGCCACUCAAGAGAUAGAAGAACUGACAGGGAUGAUCGGUCAGGUGCUUCGAGAGAGGCACGAUCAGGCCGGGACGACGGCAGACAUGAUUCAAGAGGGAAAAGGUCGGACCCGGACCGAAAAGGUGGUUCCAGGGAGCAAAGGACAGAUCAAAGUCCUAGAAGGGAUUCCGUGCGAGAUAGAAUGGCAGACCGGGAUGAGAACAAUGGUGGAUCAGGACGAUCAUCUAGGCGUGGCCGAUCAGGGUCUCCAGAAGAGCAUAGACAUAGGGGCAGGCAUGAAUCUCACACAUCACCAAGGGCAUCCAGAAGUGCAGCACAUCGUGAGGAUACAAGCUCUAGAGUGGAUGUAGCAUCCCGGAGUGGUGAUGCUGAUUCAUUGGCAAUGAUGAAUACUGCUGCAGAAGCUCUGGAGGUGAAAGAAAAGCAAAAACCAUCAUUUGAGUUGUCUGGAAAGCUUGCUGAGGAGACUAACAAAGUUGGAGGUAUAACUUUGUUGUAUUCAGAACCUCCAGAGGCUCGCAAAUCAGAUAUUAGAUGGAGACUCUAUGUAUUCAAGGGUGGUGAAGCACUGAAUGAACCGUUGUAUGUUCAUCGCAUGAGCCACUACCUUUUUGGAAGGGAAAGGAGGAUUGCAGACAUCCCCACCGACCAUCCCUCCUGCAGCAAGCAACACGCGGUUCUUCAAUAUAGACUUAUAGAGAAGGAGCAACCAGAUGGCAUGAUGUCAAAGCAAGUGAGGCCUUAUCUGAUGGAUCUUGGUAGUACCAAUGGGACUUUCAUCAAUGAGGAUCGCAUUGAGUCCCACCGCUACUAUGAACUCUUUGAAAGGGACAACAUUAAGUUUGGCAACAGUAGCCGGGAGUACGUGUUGCUCCAUGAGAACUCGACGGACUGA
rnacentral:rRNA from 1 species